rnacentral:rRNA from 1 species
UGAGGAAUAUUGGUCAAUGGGCGAGAGCCUGAACCAGCCAAGUCGCGUGAGGGAAGACGGUCCUAUGGAUUGUAAACCUCUUUUGCCGGGGAGCAAAAGAGCGGCACGUGUGCCGCGCCGAGAGUACCCGGAGAAAAAGCAUCGGCUAACUCCAGUGCCAAGCAGCCGCGGUAAUACCGGAGGAUGCGAGCGUUAAUCCGGAUUUAAUUGGGUUUAAAGGGUGCGCAGGCGGCGCGUUAAGUCAAGCGGUAAAAUUUCGGGGCUCAACCCGCACGAGCCGUUGAAACUGGCGUGCUAGAGUGGGCGAGAAGUAUGCGGAAUGCGUGGUGUAGCGGUGAAAAUGCAUAGAUAUCACGCAGAACUCCGAUUGCGAAGGCAGCAUACCGGCGCCCAACUGACGCUCAUGCACGAAAGCGUGGGUAUCGAACAGGAUUAGAUACC